rnacentral:lncRNA from 1 species
CUAUCAAUGAUUCCAUAUCCUAUUAACCAUGGGUAAAAUCAGGAACCAUUGAAUCAACAUCUGUGCCAAAGAUUCCAUAUCCAAAUAACCAUUGAAUCUCAAUUUCUUAAUUUAUGGUUGUAUGUAUUUACACAAUUGAUUUCUUUAUAUUGAUUGUAUGAAAAAUACAUGAAUCUGAUUCUUUUGAUGAAGGCAGACGGGCGUAUGAGAUUUCCGGCAACCAUUGAAGGUUGCCGCCGUUUUGGCUUCAGGUAACC